AAACUGUCACUGUGCCAUUUUGUGCUGCCAUUAGGUGAGAUCUGCAAAAAUGAAGUACUAAAACAAAGAAAAGUAUGCAAUCAAACCAUUCUGAUCAAACCUACAGGAAUGCAAUUUUAACAUUAUAAAGAUUUUUCCAAAAAAAUUGCUUGGCUAAACUUGGACUCAAGCGGAAGCAUGAUAAUUCAAAGAAAACAAUUCAUGAACUUACUUCUAAUUAGGAAACUAGAACAAAAUCCAAACUUAAUAACAGACCUAGGUUAAAGACUCAAAUCGAAUGGAAAAUCCAAGAACAUGCUAAGAAUGUAGUACCGACUAACGGGUCUUAUUAACGAUUACAUCAAUCUGCUCAAAUUUCAGUAACUUCAUCUUACUUCAAACAAAUUCUAGGAGACUAUCGAAAGCUUCAACUCAUUUUAGAAUUUUUCUUUAAUGAAAACUGAAGAAAGAAAAUUAAGAAGAAAUCAAACUAAACUGAAAACAUCAAUUGCGAUACACAAAAAUCCUCACAGCCGCUACAUGGGAUUCAACUCACAACCAAGAAAAUCCCUUCAAUACCAACCAUCCACGAGCUUAAGCUAGCUGACAUCGACACCAAGAGAAACAUAAGCCAAACAUGACAAAAGGAAAUCAAACCUUAAUGAGCUAUUGCUAAAAUUUAAAUCAGUCACACUCGGACAAGCUGAAAUGUAGACCAGCUACUGCUUUAGAACAAGCAUUAAGUCGCUUAUCUUUUAGCAUUCGUAGCAGGUCUUGAUAAAUACUAUUGACUAAACAACACAACAGUAAAAAAAACAACUGCUUGCUGAUUUCAUAAAUUUAUAUUGAAGCAAAAGAUGAACAACAAAUCCUACAUUAACUGGACACGGCAAACUACAACUCAAACUAGCAGAAAUAGCAGCUGAAAUUACACAGCAAUACAGCAAACUGGACAAAAACAUGUUAGAGGAACUGAACUUGCAAGAUUUCUUAGGACAACUUUAGGUCACAGCCCAUGAAUCAAAUUCACGAUUCUCAGUCAACAACACCCCAAAUCAGUCUCCAUUCGUAUUCACAUUUUCAUAAAAAAAAAAACAGAACCACUCAAACAGACAUGUUCAAACUCAGAAAACUAACUCAUAGCUCAAUCAAGCAUCCCAAAAUUGUUCAGUGAUGUUUUACUUCUCAGGUUUCCAGAAAUCGAUUCAAACAAACAAGACAUUUCAACUCACAUAAAAUAGCAAAAUAGGAGAGUUUGGAAGUGAACCUGAAAGUGAACUUUUGAUUAAUGUAAUUUAAUGAUUACAACGAUUCUCAGAGGAAGCGAGUCCAAACAGAGAUCGCGCUGAACUCACAAAUCAGCAGCUAAACGAACAGCGUUGGAGCAGCUCGAAACCAACAGCACUCAGUGGACUUCCAUUAACUCAAAAUAAAAUUCAGAAAAAAUGAACUAAACCUUCGAGUUCAAACCAGAUCCAUCAUGAGAAUGAAAACUUCUGAACUUCAAGAUGAAAAGAACAAAGGACUAAGACUAAAAACGAAAACGAUUUUUUUAAAAUAUUUUUCUAUUGUAACUGGAAUUAAACCAAGAUGGUUUCAGAUAAACAAAAAUGAAAAGAAAGCUACAUUCGAAUCCUAAUUUCCAGGUGACCUCUCUUCUCUCCAAAAAAAUCCUCCUCAAUCUGUUUAGAGCAUCCCUUUUAUAACCAAACCUAGAAGCUUUUUCAAAAAUCCGAAAAUAUUCCUCUCUAGAACGAAUUCGGACAGAUGGAGAGAGGGGAUCGAUUCAAAAUCAAUCUACGGUCCCCAUUUUUCGGAAUUCAUUCUCAAGAAAGCGCAUAGGAGACGAAAAUCUGUCAGAGGCCGUUAGAAUAUUCGGUGACGUGGAGAGAUGGGGGGUGCGUGGGGUGAAUUUGAGCUUACUCGCCUGAAAUUUGGCGAGUUUGGACACGGCUCUGAAGUGAAGAAGAGAGUGAAUAGUG
rnacentral:lncRNA from 1 species